AAGGGUCGAACUUCAUUCCGACGAAUGACACACAUUACAAUAAAACGAGUAAUCCAGGAAUGACUUCAACAGAAGCAAAUGCGAGGAUUUUGAAAUUUUCUUGUGAGUCCCCAAACUGUCCAGUUCGUUUCAAUCCAAACUCAAAUUGUUCGAAACAUGAAUCGACGAAGCUCUUUUCUAGAAGUAACAGGUUGGAAAUUCCUUGGCGUGCAAUUAAACAAGUGACAG